ensembl:lincRNA
GAAUGAAGCGGCAGAGCCAGCGGCUGAGGCAAUGGGUGUGACUGGUCUUGGGGGGCUGUACCCAGGAUCUGCACUCUCCUCAGGGUGCCAGUGAACGACUGGACCCGUUUUUACCUUUAGGGGGUCCACAGCUCUGAACCCACCCAGGAGGGCCAGGGCCCUGAGCUGCAGCUCCGAUGGAAGAAGAGGAGAAGAGGGGUGUGGCUGCUUCCGAGUCCAGUCAGCUCUGGGGAGUCUUCUGUUUGUCUGUGGUUCUCCUGCUGUCCUCCGGCUCCCCGGCUGCCCGUGUUCCAUCUGGCACCCAGAACCGGAGCUUACCCCCUGGGGCCAUCCCAGCACUCUGUCCUCUCUCUGCCACAUUCCACAGAGUGUUAUUUGAUUUCAUUUCGACUGCAGGCCUGGGUGUGGAAUGAGAGUUUUUAAUGCCGCGUCCUGUUGAUGUGGAAGAUUAGGACUCCUGUCCAGUGGGUGUGUUUGGGGGGCAGUGCGGGUGGAAUGGGAGAGGAGGGAGGGUGGAGGAGGGGUCUGUCAGGCCAUGAUGAUGGGGCUGGAGUCCACCCCUUGGAGCUGCCCUAGAGGCGGGAGGGUCUGGAGGAAUGGAGGAGGACAUGUUGGCCUUCGGGGUUACGAGGAUGGGACCUAGAAGCGCCCCCCGGGCAGAGAGAGUGAGCAGAUGGUGACUCAGGAUCAGGAUCACAGAUGACUCCUGUGAUUUAAACUUGCCUACAGUAACCAAGAAACAGGCAGCCCCGGUCUCAGUAUCUCAGUACUUGAUGUCCCAUCCCCUAGGGUCCCCUGCAUUUACGCUUCAUGUAGAACGGGUGCAGAUUUGAUUGGAGGGUCUGUCUGUCUUCCUCUCUCUUUUUAAAAAUGUUAUUUAUUUAUUUAUUUGAGAGAGAGAGAGAGCACGAGAGCAUAUGAACAGGGGAGAGGGGCAGAGGGAGAGAGAGAAGCAGACUCCUUGCUCAGCAGGGAGCUGGACGUUGGAUUUCAUCCCUUCGAUCCCAGGACCCUGAGAUCAUGACCUGAGCUGAAGGUGGAUACUUAACCAACUGGGCCUCCCAGGUCCCCAUGGGCUUAUCCCUUUGAUGGGGAAGUAGGGCAUUACUUAAGAACAGCACAGGGCAGGGGUGGGGUGUGCCUGGGUGGCUCAGUGGGUUAAGUCUCUGCCUUUGGCUCAGGUCAUGAUCCCAGGGUCCUGGGAUGGAGCCCCCCAUCAGGUUCUCUGCUCAGCAGGGAGGCUGCUUCCCUUCCUCUCUCUCUGCCUGCCUCUCUGUCUACUUGUGAUCUCUCUCUGUCAAAUAAAUAAAUAAAUAAUCUUAAAAAAAAGAGAGAAAAGAACAGCAGUGUGUGUGUGUGAGGGGGGUGCUUGGGUGGCGCAGUUGGGUAAGCAUCUGACUCUUAGUUUCCACCCAGGUCAUGAUCUCAGGGUCCUGGGAUUGAGCCCUGCGUUGUACUCUGUGCUCAGCCUGGAGUCUGCUUGAGAUCCUCUCCUUUUCCCUCUGCCCCUCUUUCUCUUGCUGUCUCUCUCUCUAAAAUAAAUAAAAUCUUAAAAAAAAAAAAAAAAAAGAACAGCACUGGGGACUUUUUCAGUUAUCUAUGUCUCUGUAACCAAUCUCCUCCAAACUUAGUGGCUUAAAACAGCAAGCAUCUUCUUGCUUCAGUCUCAGUGGGGCAGUUCUUGGGCUGGUCUCCCAUAUGGCUGUAGUUGGGUGAUGCUAGGGCUGAUGCCACCCGGAGUCUCUGUGGGCCUGAGGACAGCUGGCCUCUCCUUGUCACCUCAAGGCAUCUGCUUCCCAUAUGGCCUCUUCAUGACGUCUCCACGGGGCCUCUCUGGCAGAGGAAUGGGCUUUCUACAUGGAGGUCCAGGUCUCCCCAAAGUGCCACUGCAGAAGCCUUUUCAGGGCUUAGCAAGGGACUGGCCCAGCUUCGUUUCUACCACCUUCUGAUGCUUAUGGAGUCUGGGGCCAACUCAGGCUCCAGCGAAGGGAAAUGAACUCCAGCUCCGGGCAAGGAAAUGACAAAGAAUGGCGGCCAUCUUUAGUCCACCACAGGGAACCUAUUUGGAGUCUGCUUGGAAGGACAGAGCUGCAGUCAUAUUAUGUAGGGCCACCUUGUAAAGGGGGCAGUCCCAGCUUUCCUGUCCCUUGCUCCUUCCCCAUUUUGUCUCUGACUUGGGCAGGCAUGGGGAUGAUGCUUCUCUAGACCUCACAUCAUCAUCUGUCAAAGGGUGUCACAAUGAUCUGUCUCUGGGGCCAGUCCUGGGCCAACCAUUUCACUGUGUACUGGUCUUGAAAGUCAUUCACCCAGCCUGACUCUGAAGCCUGAUCUGUCCCUCCAUUCUGGGGGCCUCCUCCACAAGGUCAGGCUUUGGCCACAUCCUGGCCUAUCCUAGCCUGUUUGGGCUGCUAUAACAAAAAUGCCAUUGACUGGGAGCUUGGAUGAAAAUCAUGUACUUCCCUUAGUUCUGGAGGCUGGCAAGUCCAAGCUCAAGGCCAGCAGAGCCUGUGUCUGGCAAGUUCCUGCCUUCCAGUUCACUGGUGUCUGUCAUCUUGCUGUGUCCUCACAUGGCAGGAGUAAAGGAG